AAGUUUAAAUACAAUUUAAGGAUAUAUCAUGAUUGAAAGAGUCUGAAUAAUAAGCUGGCUAUAAUUCACAAUGUAGUUGUGAAUUAGCAUGAACAAACCUUUGAAUGAACAAGUAUUAAACAUGAACAAUAUAUAUCUGGACCAACUGGUAAUGAAGGUGAUCAGCCUUUCAUACCUGACUUAUACAUACAAGAUGUACAGAGUACAAUUCUACAUGGAAAUCAGUAACGAUUAACCAUAAGCAUAUCUGAAUGAAACACUCUUAGUAGAGUUAAG
rnacentral:lncRNA from 1 species